CUGGUCUGACUGCUCUGAAUGCUAGUUUCAAUGUGAGCAUAACAGAAACAGGUCCAGUUCCUAUGACUGCCAGAUCCACGUCUCCUGCAUCUUUAAACAUCACCGGCUUCGACAUUGAAGCUGACUCCAUCAGCAUAACUUCAAGUGGAGUAAGCCACAAGAUCAAUCUCAUCUCCACAUCUUGCCUUGUACUGGUGUCAUGGCUACUGACAAGCCAGAAAUAGCAUCAGUGCUGACUUCCAUUUGACUUUCUGUGACAUUAGUCUCAAAAUAAAGAUAGAAUAAGUGCAAGCAAAGAUUAAUAGUCUUCUAUUGUAUGCAAAAUUCCCGUUUAGGUUUCACCUAAUGACAUAGAAUAGCAGCAUCUUCACAGCUCCACAGAGAUCAUAUCAUAA